GUGGAACACUUACUCCGCCUACAGACGGUGCUGUCGAUCAUACAAGUGAAGGAACAUAUUACGAAAGUAAAGCAUACUUUUCCUGUAAUGCCGGGUACACAUUAACUGGAUUGUCGUCAGUUACAUGUCAAGCAGACAAAUCAUGGAGUGGAGCAACGCCUACAUGCGUCAUCAAAAAUUGUGGUACCGUGGCAGCUAUUCUUAAUGGCGCAUUCCAAUAUACUCCAAAUACACUAUACCAAGGUCUUGCGGAGUUUUCUUGCAACACUGGUUACACCUUGGUAGGAGACGUUACAAGAACGUGCCAAGAUACCGGUGUAUGGAGCGGUGCUAACCCUGUCUGUCAGAUAAAAGAUUGGGGAACAAUUGCUGCUCCAGCGAAUGGUAAUGUCGAUCUAACAGAUGGUACGACCUAUGAGAGUGUGGCUGUAUUUCAAUGUAACAAUGGAUACGACAAGAUUGGAGCUUCAAGUCUCGAAUGCUUGGCUGACGGUUCUUGGGAUGAUGCGAAGCCAACAUGCAACA